AGUGUAUAGAAGCCCAAGAAGCGAAACUCUGUUGUGUUAUGGGUAACAGUCUGUAGAUGGCGCUGCGGAGGCGCGGCCGCCAUUAUGGACUGAAAGCUGCUGAAAUCGUUACACAAUCAAACUGUGAAGAAGAUGAGCAAGUGGUCAAAACGCAAGCAGUGUUCAGCAAUCAGUUGCAAAAAUGUAGCAGUCCACCAGAAGCGAUCUGCCAUUUCAUCGAUUUCCAAAGGAUGCACAAAGGUGUGCCAGGUGGGUCCAAAAUCUAAGGAAUGUAUCCCUUCAUGGCAUACCUUUGGAUCAGCUGCAUCUGACCUACAGGGUGUGCAGUGCCCAUUUCCACAGCAGCCAGUUCAAAAGACCAUCUGAUGGUCAAAGUUCUUUUUUAGUUCAUGUGUUCAUUUGCUAGAUUAUACACAUAUUUUGACUAAUGCUUCCAUUCUAUGUCAGUGCCUCUUCUCUCACAAAAAGAA